AACGAACGCUGGCGGCAGGCUUAACACAUGCAAGUUGAACGGGAUUGUUUGAGUGCUUGCACUUAGACAUGAGAGUGGCGCACGGGUGAGUAAUACGUGGGAACAUACCUAUUGGUUCGGAACAACGCUUGGAAACGAGUGCUAAUACCGGAUAAGCCCUGAGGGGGAAAGAUUUAUCGCCGAUAGAAUGGCCCGCGGCAGAUUAGGUAGUUGGUAGGGUAAAGGCCUACCAAGCCGACGAUCUGUAGCUGGUUUGAGAGGACGAUCAGCCACAUUGGGACUGAGACACGGCCCAAACUCCUACGGGAGGCAGCAGUGGGGAAUUUUGGACAAUGGGGGCAACCCUGAUCCAGCCAUGCCGCGUGCAGGAAGAAGGUCUUCGGAUUGUAAACUGCUUUUAUUCGGGACAAACACAUGACGGUACCUAAUGAAUAAGCCACGGCUAACUACGUG
rnacentral:rRNA from 1 species